CGAUUAUUCUUCACUUUAAAACCGAAGAGAGAGAGAGGAUUUUUUAUUUUUAUUCUAGAUUUAUGGUGGAUAAUUUCGUUUCUUGUUUCUGUUUUUCUUCCUCACCUUAGUUUAACGUUCAAGGCUUCUUGUGUCACUCUCGCCCACACCUGAGGAAAAUAAAUAUCACCAAACAGAAAAAAAAGAAAAAAAUCCGAAGCGAUGACUAAGUUCCUCGUUGUGUAUUAUUCACGGUUUAAUAUAGAACUGUAUAACAUCUGAAUUUUUAAACAUCGGGAUUACGGACACAGUCCUCGAGAAGAGCGUUAUUUAGAAUCAAAAGUGAGUCAUUGUCGAUAAACCUCGGCCUUACUGUUGACCUUAAUAUUGUAGUUUGGCCUGUGACCUCAUUAUCUUGUUUAUUCGAAAUUCAAUUAUCGUCUAGAUUUCUUCAAACUUAAAAAAUAGUGAUAAGUUAAAUAUAGAAAGAUUCGCAUAAACUAAAUUAGGUUUCCAGUUCGUAAUGGCCUCUUAUAAAAUUAAUAUAGGAGCAUAAAAGAAAUGGCAUCUCUCACUCGACAUUUUUAUUAUACGGCCUUAAUAACUCAUAGAAGUUGUUAUAAUUCCGAGUUUAUACUUCGAUACAAUCUAGUUUGCCUGACUAGUCGAAGUGUAAUUGUUACUUUGCUGCAGAUUGCCGCUCCUAGAAAAAAGCGACAUCCGGUGCGUACGGGAGAAACUUGUCCAGAUGUAAUAAAGUUUCCAGAGACAAAAAAAAAGUUUCGAAAGUCUCUUACUCGGAUUUAUUAUAUGAGGGGGGAAGAUUAUUUUUAGAUCAAACUGUAAGGGGGCGCGUCUAAUAUUGCCUGGUAGCGUAUAAUGUUUAGUCAUAACGUAUUCAAAAAUGCAUAUUGCGUAACACGCGAAAAUAUUUAUCGUCUUAGAGUUUUUGAAAGGAUUUUUAUGGUAUUAUAUCGCAUUCAAAAUAAUAUAUAGAGGUAUUUGUUUUCGUGAAAGGAACGAAUAAAAAGAAAAAAAAUUGGAGUGUUAUCUACUAGUUAGAGCUAGCAUAUGGGGUAGUUAUCCCUGUUUAUACUUUAGAAAAUCAAUUAGAAUGGUCGAAUUUAUGACUUGGAAAUGUGAAAUUGCCUAAAUUUUCCUCUCGAAAAGAUUUUUCGAUUUUGUUGUUAAAUUUCUGUCCAAACUACUGUAAAUGAUAUCCGUGGUAGGGGGGUUAAUGUUUAAUUCCUACAUCAUUUUUAUUACCGGUAACUUCUCUAAUCUUAAACCAUAACACACAUAUUUAUAACAGAAUUUUAUUUCUGUUUUUGUUAGCACUUAAACUUAGCGAUUUGAAUAGCCCUUUAGUUAGUUUUUUUUUUUUUUUUGCUAUAAAUAAUAGGAAUAUUUUUAAAGAUGUGUU
rnacentral:lncRNA from 1 species